rnacentral:lncRNA from 1 species
AGGCACAUGGAUCAUGUUGUCCUUAAAGGUAGAUUUCACAUUUCUCGAAAUCAAUGAUUCGGCAAGAAAGGUCCCAAUGCAUCUGCCCUCCAGGAUUCAACUAUAACAGUACAUUUCUAAGGAUGUGCUCUAAAUACAAAGAUUGAUUGAAUUGCUUUUGGUUGUUUCUUGCCUUACAAAAAAAAAAGAUGGAGGGCUUUAUUGCAAAGAAGAGAGGUAAA